rnacentral:rRNA from 1 species
UACGGAGGGUGCAAGCGUUAAUCGGAAUUACUGGGCGUAAAGCGUGCGCAGGCGGUUUGUUAAGUCUGCUGUGAAAUCCCCGAGCUCAACUUGGGAAUUGCAGUGGAUACUGGCAAGCUGGAGUACGGUAGAGGAAGGUGGAAUUCCCGGUGUAGCAGUGAAAUGCGUAGAGAUCGGGAGGAACACCAGUGGCGAAGGCGGCGACCUGGACAGAUAUUGACGCUGAGGUGCGAAAGCGUGGGGAGCAAACAGG